GCGUUGCAACCAGGCUCUGAGGCAGUGAGGGGCCAGGUAGACGUGGGCUCGGGAAGUGAGGUGCUUGCCUUCCCCCAGAGGCGGCUUGCCUUCCAGAACCUCGAGCUGUCAUGCCAAAGGCUGAGGACAGGCCUUCUCCCCGGGUAGCCACGGAGAGCGCUUGCAACUCAGAGCAAUAAAUAGCUUGGCUUACGAUUCAGCAGGAAUCACAGAUGAUAACAGUAAUCAUUUCAUUUCUUGUGUAUAAUGAUAGGGGUCUGCCUAUAAAUAGCACAGAUCCUCUACAUUUGGAAAAUAAAUCUGGAAAAUCCUCCUCCUUCUGAAGCAACUGGGAACUUGGACAUAAAGAGAACAGGGAGGAGAGAAGGCCUUUCUAAUGUACCCCUGAAAGCAGUUGACACACACAGAUGCACCUUGACAUGUGGAAUUAAGAAGGAUGGUGGAAUGGGGUUAUUCAUGGAUAAAUCUUGGGCGGGGGGGGUGGUUAUUCAUUUGAGAGAACGCGAGCAAGCACACAUGUGAGUGGCAGAAAGGAACAGAGGAAGGAGGAGAGAGCGGAUCCUCAAGCCAACUCCCUGCUGAGUGCAGAGCCCGACGCAGGGCUCAAUCCCAGGACCCUGAGGAUCAUGACCUGAGCCAAAAUGAAGAGUCAGCGGCCUGACAGCCUGAGCCACCAAGCGCCCCUGGAUAUCUAUGAUAAUGUGACAACCGAGACUGGCGUGGGAAAUAAAAUCCACAGAUAAUCCCAGGCCCCCCUGGAUAAGCCCCGUGUGGAGGGAACCACUUACAUCACUUAGCUGCUUGGUGUUCUGCUGAGCCAGAACCAUGCCCAUGGAAUCCGGCACGCUUGUGAACUUGAUGGUAUCCGGGUGCUGCCGGUACUUCCUCUCGUUUAAGGCAUCACCCGCUUUCUUGGCCUUCUCAACCUCCAGAGAACCAAUAGGGAUCCAUCCAAUGCCCUUGAAGAAGUUGUUAUACUCGUCUUUAUACACAUUCUGCAAAAGAAUAGUUUCAUAUGAGGAGAUAGCCUACAAAGGUGGUCUCUGAAAUCUGCAGUUAUAUCCAGAAGAAAUCAAUAGCCGCCCUUCCAGCAUGCUCAGGUCCGUAAAGAAGCCUUUCACUACGUAUGCCACUGAGCUUCUUCCCCAGAAUCUGGUACUAAGAAACAGCAGUUUUGCUUUUCCGAGUGCAUUCUACGACACAGAGGGAAUCUAGGCCACAUACUUCCAUGGGUAAUGCUAAAAAAAAUAUUGUAUCUCUUCUGACAAUAAAUUGGGCUUUCUUUUUUAUUUCACUGAAAACCCCACAACUUUGAAUUUCACCCAUACUGUCUGCCUAGGCUAUUCCUGGGGAGAGACAUCUCAGCUGGGGAAAGACAUCUUCGUCGAGUGACCAUAAACGGAUGCCAUAUCUUUCCCUACAGAGGAUGAUUCUUACAGAAAUCUGGUUCCUGCAGAAGGAAAUGCCCUGAAUAUUAAACAGCCUCCCCAUGCAGCUCUCCAUCAAUCAUGCUGCAAUGCAAUCACAAAGCCUCCCUGGUUCAUUUUAGAUGACUCACCACAUAGAUUAACAUGCAUGAGAAUGAAUUUCAGUUAAAAAAAAGAAAAAAUGUUCCUGAAUUCAGAGAGAGUAGAGAAUACUAUUUUUCAUUCUACAUGUCACCAUUGAAACAGGUCUGCCAAGAGCAACCAUGGCCUCUUGCUGGGAAUCAAAGUGGUUUAUAUACUUAGUGGAAUAUGGUUUUAUCUUUGAUCCGUGCGUUAAUAAAGACAAUGUCAAUGACUAACAGGAGAACAGAAAGCCAGCAAAACCCCUGCUCGUCUACCAUGUCUUUGUUAAAGGUGCAUUUCUCAAAUAUCUUCCUGUAUUGUGAAGCCUAUUAAGACAGAAAAGGAUCACCCCUGAAGUACCAACAUUCCUGGGUCUGUCAUACUCACAUCGCUCUGAAUUUGAUUCAUAUUCCUGGUGUGCUCGAGACUCAUGGCAUCGGGAUAAUAACUCUCUCCACUUGCAAAAUGAGGAAAACUAACUCGAAGUUUUAGAGGAACAGAUGUUGGGCUCCAUGCAAGGGAAAAUGUCACAUCCUUUUGGAAUUAUACUGCCCUUGAAGAGGCCAACUUAAGAGGCAGAGAGCCAUCGUCAUGAGAUAGGCUCCAUCCAGUAUGUGUGUGGGAAACUGACCUAAAUAGUUAUCAAGGCCCCAUCCUACUCAGAUUCUAUUACUUUACCACCUUGUCUGGGUUUCACACCCCAUUGAAAACCCUACUUACGUCACUUAUAUUGUAAGCAUUGCACUUGGCCUGGAGAAACUGAGGGAGAUCAGGACUCAUAGUGUAUUUAUGUUUCACAUCUUCUCCUUUAGCUUUGUAUAAGAUCUGCAAUACACAAUCACAAAAAUAACAUGUAUCACAGACAGUACAAAAAAAGAAAAUGUUUGAAUUGCACACUUAAUGGAGUUACUCCCAGCACAGUCCCUCUACUACUUCUAUUGUUAAAAAUCAAAAGUAUUUCCCUAUUUUUAAAAACUCAAGCAUUUUGUCAUUUUUAGAAAGACAUAAAAACUCUGUGUAUUAAAAUAGAAAAGUAGAAAACAGUGAUCUUUGACUGCUAGAAAUGAAUGGAAAAUCAUUUCAAAUGUGAAACCCUAACUUGAAUAAACAGAAUUUACCAAAGUCAGAAAAGUCCAAUCUUUACUAGUGGAGUAAACAGGUCUUGUUUUUUAGUUUUGGGUUUUUGUUUCUUAGAAAAUGGCAUUUAGAAGGAGUCUUUCACUUCUGCUAAAAAAAAAAAAAAAAAAAAAAAAAAAACCUUUCCAA